rnacentral:rRNA from 1 species
CAGUAGGGAGGAAGGUAGUGUAGUUAACACCUGCAUUAUUUGACGUUACCUACAGAAGAAGCACCGGCUAACUCCGUGCCAGCAGCCGCGGUAAUACGGAGGGUGCGAGCGUUAAUCGGAAUUACUGGGACGUAAAGCGCAUGCAGGCGGCCUGUUAAGUCAGAUGUAGAAAGGCCCGGGGACCUUAACCGUACGGUAAAUUGCAUUUAGUAAACGUGGCAGGCUAGAGUCUUGUAGAGGGGGGUAGGAAUUUCAGGUGUAGCGGUGAAAUGCGUAGAGAUCUGAAGGAAUACCAGUGGCGAAGGCGGCCCCCUGGACAAAGACUGACGCUCAGAUGCGAAAGCGUGGGGAGCAAACAGGAUUAGAUACCCUGGUAG